rnacentral:rRNA from 1 species
GGGGAAUAUUGCACAAUGGGGGAAACCCUGAUGCAGCGACGCCGCGUGGAGGAAGAAGGUCUUCGGAUUGUAAAGAUCUUUAAUCAGGGACGAAACAAGUGACGGUACCUGAAGAAUAAGCUCCGGCUAACUACGUGCCAGCAGCCGCGGUAAUACGUAGGGAGCAAGCGUUAUCCGGAUUUACUGGGUGUAAAGGGCGCGCAGGCGGGCCGGUAAGUUGGAAGUGAAAUCUAUGGGCUUAACCCAUAAACUGCUUUCAAAACUGCUGGUCUUGAGUGAUGGAGAGGCAGGCGGAAUUCCGUGUGUAGCGGUGAAAUGCAUAGAUAUACGGAGGAACACCAGUGGCGAAGGCGGCCUGCUGGACAUUAACUGACGCUGAGGCGCGAAAGCGUGGGGAGCAAACAGGAUUAGAUACCCUGGUAGUCCACGCCGUAAACGAUGGAUACUAGGUGUGGGAGGUAUUGACCCCUUCCGUGCCGCAGUUAACACAAUAAGUAAUCCACCUGGGGAGUACGACCGCAAGGUUGAAACUCAAAGGAAUUGACGGGGGCCCGCACAAGCAGUGGAGUAUGUGGUUUAAUUCGACGCAACGCGAAGAACCUUACCAAGUCUUGACAUCCUGCGACGAUGCUGGAAACAGUAUUUUCCUUCGGGACGCAGAGACAGGUGGUGCAUGGUUGUCGUCAGCUCGUGUCGUGAGAUGUUGGGUUAAGUCCCGCAACGAGCGCAACCCUUACUGUCAGUUACUACGCAAGAGGACUCUGGCAGGACUGCCGUUGACAAAACGGAGGAAGGUGGGGAUGACGUCAAAUCAUCAUGCCCUUUAUGACUUGGGCUACACACGUACUACAAUGGCGUUAAACAAAGAGAAGCAAGACCGCGAGGUGGAGCAAAACUCAGAAACAACGUCCCAGUUCGGACUGCAGGCUGCAACUCGCCUGCACGAAGUCGGAAUUGCUAGUAAUCGUGGAUCAGCAUGCCACGGUGAAUACGUUCCCG